rfam:Picea glauca, whole genome shotgun sequence.
CGCAUGGAGAGUUUGAUCCUGGCUCAGGAUGAACGCUGGCGGCAUGCUUAACAUAUGCAAGUUGGACGGGAAGUGGUGUUUCUAGUGGCGGACGAGUGAGUAACGCAUAAGAACCUGCCCUUGGGAGGGAAACAAUAGCUGGAAAUGAAUGCUAAUACCCCAUAGGCUAAGGAGAAGAAGGAGGAAUCCGCCUAAGGAGGGGCUCACGCCUGAUUAGUUAGUUGGUGAGGCAAUGUCUUACCAAGGCGACGAUUAGUAGCUGGUAUGAGAGGAUGAUCAACCACACUGGGAUUGAGACAUGACCCAGACUCCUACGAGAGGCAACAAUGGGGAAUUUUCCGCAAUGGGAAAAAUCCUGACGGAGCAAUGCUAUUUGAAGGCAAAAGGCCCAUGGGUCAUGAACUUAUUUUCUCAGAGAAAAAACAAUGACGGUAUCUGAGGAAUAAGCAUGGGCUAACUUUGUGCUAGCAGUUGCGGUAAGACAGAGGAUGCAAGUGUUAUCUAGAAUGAUUGGGCGUAAAGAGUCUAUAGGUGGAUUUUCAAGUCCGUCGUCAAAUCCCAGGGCUCAACCCUAGACAGGCGGUGGAAACUACCAAGCUAGAGUACGGUAGGGGCAGAGGGAAUUUUCGGUGGAGCAGUGAAAUGCAUUGAGAUUGGAAAGAACACCAACGACGAAAUCACUCUACUGGGUUGACACUGACACUGAGAGAAAAAAUCUAGGGGAGAAAAUGGGAUUAGAUAUCCCAAUAGUCCUAGCCGUAAACGAUGGAUACUAAGUGCCAUGCGUAUCAACCCAUGAAGUGAUGUAGCUAACGUGCUAAGUAUCUCGCCUGGGGAGUAUGUUCACAAGAUGAAACUCAAAGGAAUUGAUGGGGGCCUGAGGGCGACACACGUGCUACAAUGACUGGGACAAAGGGUCGUGACCUCGUGAGGGAAAUCUAACCUCAAAAACCUGGCCUCAGUUUGGAUUGCAGGCUGCAACUCGCCUGCAUGAAGCUGGAUUCACUAGUAAUCGUCGGUCAACCAUAUGACGGUGAAUCUAUUCCUGGGCCUUGUACACACCACCCAUCACACUAUGGGAUCUUUCCAUGCCCCAAGUCAUUAUCUUAACCACAAGGAGGGGGAUGCUGAAGGUUGGAAUAAUGACUAGAGUGAAGUCGUAAUAAGGUAUCCAUAUUGGAAGGUGCGGCUAGAUCACCUCCUUU